rnacentral:lncRNA from 1 species
AUGUCGCUGCCUCUGGCUUUCUGCCAGGCCAGGCAAGCCCGGCUCCGUGUAGGGCUCCUCAAGGUGGUUUCUAAGCUGGGAAUUUCCAAUGUGCCCGGGAGACCUCCAAGAGCGCGGUCCCCUCAGAAGGCAGCUAGGGAAGGGGACCAGAGAGGAAGGCGGCUGCCAUCGCCCGGCCGCGCCCACCGCCCGCACGAAUGGAAAGGCGCGCCAGGGUCCUCUAGGCCACCUACCUGCCAGGGUCGCAGAAGCCCACCCUUGGCGCGCGCCAGGCCGGGGCAGCGGGACGGGGUGGCCCCGGGAGCCGAGCCGCGAAGACAGGACCCAGGGAUCCUCGGCCCGGAGCCCGCGGACCCCGGUAAAGACAAACACCUCCCCCGCCCCAAAAAGCCCCCGCCCGGCGCCGGGCUAAGCCCUCCCUCCGCCUCCCGCCUGAAGCCGGCAGCGUCCCCGCGCUUCCCCGCGCCCGCCGCCCCAGAACUCGGGAGCCGCCGGCGCACCUGGCCGCGCAUCCUCCGGUGGGAGGUGACCACAGCUGGACACCGGGGCUUCCUCGCGGCCCGCCCGCGGGUGCAGGGCCAUAAGCGCCGCUGGAAGGAGGCGCACGCGCCGCGGCGGUUCCUGGCCUUGGCGCUCCCAGGGCGGGAGGCUCUGCGCGCGUCCGCUCUUGGGGCCACCCGUUCCAGAGCCACUCGCCAGGGCCAACCCGGGGCUCGAGACCCCGAGCUCGGGUGCGAGCAGGAUGCGGCUCCCCGGGGACGGUUGGCGCGGGUAGGAGUCCCGAAGCCCGACCUUACCUCUGCUUCAUGCUGCAGUGUCCCUCAGCGCUGCCGUCCCAGUGGCCGGUCCGUGCCGCCCUGUCCCACAGGCCCGGCGACCGUGGAGGUGUCUAAUGUCGUCCAUGGCCCAGUGCAGAGGAACACAGGUGUUGCCGUCAGACUGCCAGGGUCCGAUCCCGCCUCUGUCACUCACCCCGGGAGCUCCCUUUAAGCCAGGAGUCAACAGCGAGAUGGAAAU